GGAGUUAGUUUUAGUAGAUUUUCUUAUUAGUAGCAGUAGAUUUUCUUGUUAAUUUUCUAUAGUUAAGAGUGUGGUAGAGUAGGGUUAGGAAUAAAGUUUAUCUUUGUAACAACUCUUGUACACCUAGUUUAUCCUUUUUCGAUAAAUAUAGGUCGCUCGGCUUAUUCAGCCGAGUUGUGAAUAGUUUCGGAAGAACCGGACUGAGCUGAUACCUUCUCAGCUGAGGGCAUGUUUGUUUGGGUGGAAGUGGGGUGGAAGUGGAGAGAAGAGAAGCCAUUUUCUCCAUAAAUGGCCACUUCCGUUCUUUGGUUCGCCGUAAAAAAGUUACGGUUGAAACUUAGGUUAACCUCAAAAGCGGUAAUUGACUUCGACCCAUUGUGAGCCGAAGUCAAUUAAGGUGAAGAGAGUUAAAGAAAAGAUAAUAAAAUAAUAUAAUAGGUAAAGAUAGUUAUAUCUAAAUAUAUUUAAUUAUAUUACUGAUUACACCUUUAUUCAUUUGGUAUAUUUAAAAUAUGAUAAAAAUUGAUUAGUUAAGUUUUAAUAUUUUCUUUAUUUAGUUCGUACAAUUAAAAUAUAAUAAAAAAUAAUUAAUUAAGUAUUAAUAUUUUUUUACUUUAUAAUUUUAUUAUUGUAUUACUAUAAUUUAUGUAUAAAAAAAAUAAUUUAGUUGUUUUAAAUUAAAUUUUAAUUAUAUAAAAAUAAAAUUAUAUUAUUUUUAUUUAUCAAAAUAUUUAUUAUUUAUUUAUAAAUUAUAGUUUUAUUGUUAGAAACUUUAUAAAAAUUCGGAUCGUACCUUCUGCCAUGAUUUCGAUUUCUGUAUCCGAUUUGUAAGCGGCGAUCCUUGUUCGUGGUUCGUCCUUGUUCGUGAUCUGCAAGAAGACGGGACGUUUCGAAUCUAAUUCCCUUAUCCCCGGAGAUGGAGCCGUCACAGACAAUUGGAUUAGGGUUAGACCGGGACUCCCGUAUGUUACAUAUUUAUAUAUAACUUAACGCAAGGAUGUUAAAUCACGUCCGUCCAUCAAGGACGUGUCCAGAUACAUCCUAACUAUAAGAUCUAAAAUAUCUUUAUAGAUCGACUUAAAUAGAUUGACCGUAUCUUUAUGGAUCGCCUUGAAUAUAUCACGUGGGCCACAUCCAACAUUUAUAUCAUACACUUCCUACCAAACAAAUAGUAGAACUAAUGAAACUUCACAUCCAUAACUACGAAACAAAUAGCGGGAA
rnacentral:lncRNA from 1 species